GGGGAUGUAGCUCAGUGGUUAGAGCGUCCACUUAUAAAGUGGGAGGUCCCUGAUUCAAUUCCAGGCAUCUCCA
rnacentral:tRNA from 1 species